AUGAUGUUAGUUAUCAUACCAAGACGCAUGUUUCAAGAGUUGACAGUGAACAACUUGAGUGUUCUCAGCAGCCAUUACUUGACAACAACUUCGGAACUGUUUUCUCAGCUUUGCCUCCUAGCUUCAUUGAACUAUUGACUGGCCAUUUGACUGAACAUGAGAACAAUGAGAUGCAUAUCGGAUUCUUCUUUUCAUGAUUUUAUGACUAGAGUAGAUAUGGUCAUUGAUGAACUAGGAGGUGAUAUGACAAUCUAAUCGUCUCCAAAUCACACACAGGUUAGCAUGCUUCAUACUUGUACAGUUUUUUUUUUUGGGGGGGUUGUUUCCAGUACGGAAAUUGAAAGUUGUACAUGGUGGACUGUGUUAAGUUGUACAAUGGAGAAUAUACAACCAUUUUAGAUUGCCGAAAUUUCAAUGUCAACUUCUUGGAAAACUACU